GACGAACGCUGGCGGCGUGCCUAAUACAUGCAAGUUGAGCGCUGACGCUUUAUGCUUUUGCUCACUGGGUGAGCAGCUAACGGGCGAGUAACGCGUGGAGAAUCUUCCUCUGAUCCGGGGACAACAUCGGGGAAAGAAUGCUAAUACCGCAGCAUACCUUUAACCACAGAAUUUAAGUUUGAAACAUGCAAUUGCCUCACUAAAAGGUGAUCCCGCGUUGUAUUAGCUAGUUGGUUAGGUAAAGGCGCACCAAAGCGAUGAUACAUAGCCGACCUGGGAGGGUGAUCGGCCACAACUGGACUGGGACACGGCCCAAACCCCUUCGGGAGGCAGCAGUAGGGAAUCUUCGGCCAUGGACGAAAGGCUGGCCGAGGAAAGCCGGGUGAGUGAAGGAGGGUCUCGGAUUGGUAAACUCCGUUGGUAGAGAAGGAAGUGGGUGAGAGUGGAAAGCCGAUCAAGUGACGGUACCUACAGAGAAAGGGACGGCUAACUACGUG
rnacentral:rRNA from 1 species